GACGAACGCUGGCGGCGUGCUUAACACAUGCAAGUCGAACGGCAAGGCCUGCUUUCCCUUGUGGAUUGCGGGUACUCGAGUGGCGAACGGGUGAGUAACACGUGAGUGAUCUGCCCCCAACUUGGGUAUAAGCCUGGGAAACUGGGUCUAAUUCCCGAUAGGACUGCAGGGUGGUGCCUGUGGUGGAAAACGAUUUUCUAGUGGUUGGGGAUGAGCUCGCGGCCUAUCAGCUUGUUGGUGGGGUAAUGGCCUACCAAGGCGGCGACGGGUAGCCGGCCUGAGAGGGUGGACGGCCACAUUGGGACUGAGAUACGGCCCAGACUCCUACGGGAGGCAGCAGUGGGGAAUAUUGCACAAUGGGCGGAAGCCUGAUGCAGCGACGCCGCGUGGGGGAUGACGGCCUUCGGGUUGUAAACUCCUUUCGACCGCGAGGAAGCCACCUGGUUGGAAGGGUGGUGACGGUAGUGGUAGAAGAAGCACCGGCUAACUACGUG
rnacentral:rRNA from 1 species